CAGCCGCCGCGGUAAUACCAGCGCCACGAGUGGCAGCCGCGUUUAUUGGGCCUAAAGCGUCCGUAGCCUGUUUGGUUAAUCUCUUGUGAAAUUGUUGGGCUCAACCCAACAGCGUGCAGGAGACACUUCCAAGCUCGAGACCGGGAGGGGUUAGAAGUAUUCUGGGGGGAACGGUAAAAUGUUAUAAUCCCUGGAGGACUACCUAUGGCGAAGGCAUCUAACCAGAACGGAUCUGACGGUGAGGGACGAAAGCCAGGGGAGCGAACCGGAUUAGAUACCCGAGUAGUCCUGGCUGUAAACGCUGUGAGCUAGGUGUUGCAUAUUCCACGUGAAUAUGCAGUGUCGAAAUGAAGAUGCUAAGCUCACCGCCUGGGAAGUACGGCCGCAAGACUGAAACUUUAAGGAAUUGGCGGGGGCGCACAACAAGGGGUGCGGCGUGCGGUUUAAUCUAACUCAACGCAGAGAACCUUACUAGAAGCGACGGCAGUAUGAAGGUCAGUCUGAAGGGCUUACCUGACGAGCCGAGAGGUGGUGCAUGGCCGUCGUCAGCUCGUGCCGUGAGGUGUCCUCUUAAGUGAGGCAACGAGCGAGAUCUGUGCCUACAAUUGCUAGCGACCUUUGGGAUCGAGCACAUUGUAGGGACUGCCCGGGAAACUGGGGGGAAGGAGCAGGCAACGGUAGGUCUGUAUGCCCCGAAUCUUCUAGGCUACACGCGCGCAACAAUGGUAGGGACAAUGGGAUGCAACUCCGAAAGGAGAAGCUAAACCUCUAAACCCUAUCCCAGUCCGGAUUGAGGCUUGCAACCCAGCCUCAUGAAGACGGAAUCCCUAGUAAUCAGAGUUCAUCAUACUCUGGUGAAUAUGUCCCUGCCCCUUGCACAC
rnacentral:rRNA from 1 species